CAAAGUUGAGGCUAUUGUAUUCUUUUUCAUGUGAAGAUUGGUUGCUACCAUGAUCCAUUUACCGGAUCAAAUCUUUUGGUUUGAUCCACUGCUUUCUAUUCUGCCCCAUUCUGCCACUGUCAAGUAAUAAUGAUCACUUGAAAAAUUACAUGAGUGAUUACACAUAUUAGGGAAAAGUCAUUAAAAUCAUUCGCUGGUAUUUUACAGUUUAUUUUUAGUGACAAUGAAAUGUAUUAACAUGUUGGUAUUAUUAAAAGAGCAAUAACAUUUUCUUGUUUUAAAUGAAUUUUACUAUUUUCUACAUUAUGUUUCAUAAUUAGAAAUGGAAUGAGUUGAUGUUUUCUAAUGCAUAAUUAUUUGGUUAUUUGUAUUCAUUCUUAUUUAGAUAAUACUGAUUCUCAUUCCCUGACACACAUCAGGAAUAUAGACCCACAUACAUUAGAGAUAUAAGAUACAGAGAAAAACAUUUUCUUUCCUUUUCAGAGAGCGUUUUUGUUCCUUCACUCCGUUUCCUUCCCUGUUGUAGGUAGAGGUGCUAUGUUAGUUGGAAUAGGCUAAUCUACUCUGUAAUAAUGUAUCAGUCACAUUCAUAUUCUUAAAUAUUGGAAUAAUAUCAAAAUAAAUAUGCCUAAUGACUGUAUUACUUAAUGCUAUAUUUAAAAAAAAGAAUAGCUGU
rnacentral:lncRNA from 1 species